rnacentral:rRNA from 1 species
ACGCUCGACACCUACGGGGGGCAGCAGUGGGGGAAUAUUGGGCAAUGGGCGCAAGCCUGACCCAGCAACGCCGCGUGAAGGAAGAAGGCCCUCGGGUUGUAAACUUCUUUUAACAGGGACGAAGUAAGUGACGGUACCUGUUGAAUAAGCCACGGCUAACUACGUGCCAGCAGCUGCGGUAAUCUGAGCGGGCUGGCAAGGC